rnacentral:rRNA from 1 species
CUACGGGCGGCUCCAGUGAGGAAUAUUGCACAAUGGGGGGAACCCUGAUGCAGCAACGCCGCGUGGAGGGUGACGCAUUUCGGUGUGUAAACUCCUUUUAUAUGUCAAGAAAAUGACGGUAGCAUAUGAAUAAGCACCGGCUAACUCCGUGCCAGCAGCCGCGGUAAUACGGAGGGAGCAAACGUUGUUCGGAAUCACUGGGCGUAAAGGGCUCGUAGGCGGCUUCCUAAGUCAGUGGUGAAAACCUGUGGCUCAACCACAGGCCUGCCCCUGAAACUGGGAAGCUUGAGGCUGGGAGGGGAGAGGGGAAUUCCUGGUGUAUCGGUGAAAUGAGUUGAUAUCAGGAGGAACACCCGUGGCGAAGGCGCCUCUCUGGCACAGUACUGACGCUGAGGAGCGAAAGCGUGGGGAGCAAACAGGAUUAGAUACCCUUGUAGUC